rnacentral:rRNA from 1 species
UACAGAGGGGGCAAGCGUUGUUCGGAAUUACUGGGCGUAAAGGGCGCGUAGGCGGCCCGCUAAGUCGAACGUGAAAUCCCCGAGCUCAACUCGGGAACUGCGUCCGAUACUGGUGGGCUUGAAUCCGGGAGAGGGAUGCGGAAUUCCAGGUGUAGCGGUGAAAUGCGUAGAUAUCGAGAGGAACACCGGUGGCGAAGGCGGCCUUCUGGACAGUGACUGACGCUGAGACGCGAAAGCGUGGGGAGCAAACAGG